rnacentral:rRNA from 1 species
AGAACGAACGCUGGCGGCAUGCCUAAUACAUGCAAGUCGAACGAACUCUUCGGAGUUAGUGGCGCACGGGUGCGUAACGCGUGGGAAUCUGCCCUUGGGUUCGGAAUAACAGUUGGAAACGACUGCUAAUACCGGAUGAUGACGAAAGUCCAAAGAUUUAUCGCCCAGGGAUGAGCCCGCGUAGGAUUAGCUAGUUGGUGAGGUAAAGGCUCACCAAGGCGACGAUCCUUAGCUGGUCUGAGAGGAUGAUCAGCCACACUGGGACUGAGACACGGCCCAGACUCCUACGGGAGCAGCAGUAGGGAAUAUUGGACAAGUGGGACGAAAGCCUG